rnacentral:rRNA from 2 species
AGGGAAACCGAGUCUUAACCGGGCGUUAAGUUGCAGGGUAUAGACCCGAAACCCGGUGAUCUAGCCAUGGGCAGGUUGAAGGUUGGGUAACACUAACUGGAGGACCGAACCGACUAAUGUUGAAAAAUUAGCGGAUGACCUGUGGCUGGGGGUGAAAGGCCAAUCAAACCGGGAGAUAGCUGGUUCUCCCCGAAAGCUAUUUAGGUAGCGCCUCGUGAACUCAUCUUCGGGGGUAGAGCACUGUUUCGGCUAGGGGGUCAUCCCGACUUACCAACCCGAUGCAAACUGCGAAUACCGGAGAAUGUUAUCACGGGAGACACACGGCGGGUGCUAACGUCCGUCGUGAAGAGGGAAACAACCCAGACCGCCAGCUAAGGUCCCAAAGUCAUGGUUAAGUGGGAAACGAUGUGGGAAGGCCCAGACAGCCAGGAUGUUGGCUUAGAAGCAGCCAUCAUUUAAAGAAAGCGUAAUAGCUCACUGGUCGAGUCGGCCUGCGCGGAAGAUGUAACGGGGCUAAACCAUGCACCGAAGCUGCGGCAGCGAACGUAUCACUUAAAGCGAUUCAGCGGGUUACGAUUGACGGAGCGAAGCGACGUCAAAGCGUAUACAAAGUCGAGUCGGUUUAAGGAUACGUUCGUUGGGUAGGGGAGCGUUCUGUAAGCCUGUGAAGGUGUGUCGUGAGGCAUGCUGGAGGUAUCAGAAGUGCGAAUGCUGACAUAAGUAACGAUAAAGCGGGUGAAAAGCCCGCUCGCCGGAAGACCAAGGGUUCCUGUCCAACGUUAAUCGGGGCAGGGUGAGUCGACCCCUAAGGCGAGGCCGAAAGGCGUAGUCGAUGGGAAACGGGUUAAUAUUCCCGUACUUGGUGUUACUGCGAAGGGGGGACGGAGAAGGCUAUGUUGGCCGGGCGACGGUUGUCCCGGUUUAAGCGUGUAGGCUGGUUUUCCAGGCAAAUCCGGAAAAUCAAG